UACAGGGGGGGCAAGCGUUGUUCGGAAUUACUGGGCGUAAAGGGCUCGUAGGCGGCCAACUAAGUCACACGUGAAAUCCCCGGGCUCAACCCGGGAACUGCGUCCGAUACUGGCAGGCUUGAAUCCGGGAGAGGGAUGCGGAAUUCCAGGUGUAGCGGUGAAAUGCGUAGAUAUCUGGAGGAACACCGGUGGCGAAGGCGGCAUCCUGGACCGGCAUUGACGCUGAGGCGCGAAAGCCAGGGGAGCAAACGGG
rnacentral:rRNA from 1 species